AAGCGUAAUAGCUCACUGGUCGAGUCGGCCUGCGCGGAAGAUGUAACGGGGCUAAACCAUGCCCCGAAGCUGCGGCAGCGACACUAUGUGUUGUUGGGUAGGGGAGCGUUCUGUAAGCCUGCGAAGGUGUGCUGUGAGGCAUGCUGGAGGUAUCAGAAGUGCGAAUGCUGACAUAAGUAACGAUAAAGCGGGUGAAAAGCCCGCUCGCCGGAAGACCAAGGGUUCCUGUCCAACGUUAAUCGGGGCAGGGUGAGUCGACCCCUAAGGCGAGGCCGAAAGGCGUAGUCGAUGGGAAACAGGUUAAUAUUCCUGUACUUGGUGUUACUGCGAAGGGGGGACGGAGAAGGCUAUGUUAGCCGGGCGACGGUUGUCCCGGUUUAAGCAUGUAGGCUGGUUAUCCAGGCAAAUCCGGAUAACCAAGGCUGAGGUGUGAUGA
rnacentral:rRNA from 1 species